rnacentral:rRNA from 1 species
AUUGAACGCUGGCGGCAGGCCUAACACAUGCAAGUCGAGCGGAUGAAGGGAGCUUGCUCCUGGAUUCAGCGGCGGACGGGUGAGUAAUGCCUAGGAAUCUGCCUGGUAGUGGGGGAUAACGUCCGGAAACGGGCGCUAAUACCGCAUACGUCCUGAGGGAGAAAGUGGGGGAUCUUCGGACCUCACGCUAUCAGAUGAGCCUAGGUCGGAUUAGCUAGUUGGUGGGGUAAAGGCCUACCAAGGCGACGAUCCGUAACUGGUCUGAGAGGAUGAUCAGUCACACUGGAACUGAGACACGGUCCAGACUCCUACGGGAGGCAGCAGUGGGGAAUAUUGGACAAUGGGCGAAAGCCUGAUCCAGCCAUGCCGCGUGUGUGAAGAAGGUCUUCGGAUUGUAAAGCACUUUAAGUUGGGAGGAAGGGCAGUAAGUUAUUACCUUGCUGUUUUGACGUUACCAACAGAAUAAGCACCGGCUAACUUCGUG